rnacentral:rRNA from 1 species
UACGUAGGGGCCUAGCGUUGUCCGGAUUUAUUGGGCGUAAAGAGCUCGUAGGCGGUUUGGUGAGUCGGGUGUGAAAUCUCCACGCUCAACGUGGAGGGGCCACCCGAUACUGCCAUGACUAGAGUCCGGUAGGGGAGUGUGGAAUUCCCGGUGUAGCGGUGAAAUGCGUUGAUAUCAUCAGGAACACCGGGUGGCGAAGGCGCUUUCUGGGUCUUACCUGACGCUGAGGAACGAAAGCUAGGGGAGCGAACGGG